AACCAUAGAAACCUGCGGAGUACCUGCGGAAGGAUCAUUACAGAGUUGCAAAACUCCCCAAACCAUCGUGAACCCACCCCUAAACAGUUGCUUCGGCGGCGCGCCCCGGCGCCCGCCGGAGCCCCCUAAACUCUUGUCUUUACCGAACCGGCCUCUCUGAGUACUGUACUUUUAAUAAGUCAAAACUUUCAACAAUGGAUCU
rnacentral:misc_RNA from 1 species